rnacentral:rRNA from 1 species
GACGAACGCUGGCGGCGUGCUUAACACAUGCAAGUCGAACGGUGAAGCGAGUGCUUGCACUCGUGGAUCAGUGGCGAACGGGUGAGUAACACGUGAGUAACCUGCCCAUCACUCUGGGAUAAGCACUGGAAACGGUGUCUAAUACUGGAUACGACCAACCCUUGCAUGGGGUGUUGGUGGAAAGAUUUAUCGGUGAUGGAUGGACUCGCGGCCUAUCAGCUUGUUGGCGGGGUAAUGGCCCACCAAGGCGACGACGGGAAGCCGGCCUGAGAGGGUGACCGGCCACACUGGGACUGAGACACGGCCCAGACUCCUACGGGAGGCAGCAGUGGGGAAUAUUGCACAAUGGGCGAAAGCCUGAUGCAGCGACGCCGCGUGAGGGAUGACGGCCUUCGGGUUGUAAACCUCUUUCAGCAGGGAAGAAGCGAAAGUGACGGUACCUGCAGAAGAAGCACCGGCUAACUACGUG